rnacentral:rRNA from 1 species
UACGAAGGGGGCUAGCGUUGUUCGGAAUUACUGGGCGUAAAGCGCGUGUAGGCGGUUGCCCAAGUCGGGUGUGAAAGCCUUGAGCUCAACUCAAGAAAUGCACUCGGUACUGGGUGACUAGAGGACCGGAGAGGAUAGUGGAAUUCCCAGUGUAGUGGUGAAAUACGUAGAGAUUGGGAAGAACACCAGUGGCGAAGGCGGCUAUCUGGACGGUUUCUGACGCUAAGACGCGAAAGCGUGGGGAGCAAACAGGA